UACGGAGGGUGCAAGCGUUAUCCGGAUUCACUGGGUUAAAGGUGCGUAGGUGGGUCUGUAAGUCAGUGGUGAAAUCUCCGGGCUUAACCCGGGAAACUGCCAUUGAUACUAUAGGUCUUGAAUUUUCUGGAGGUGAGCGGAAUAUGUCAUGGUAGCGGUGAAAUGCUUAGAUAUGACAUAGAACACCAAUUGCGAAGGCAGCUCGCUACAGGAAUAUUGACACUGAGGCACGAAAGCGUGGGGAUCAAACAGGAUUGAGAAACCCUGGGU
rnacentral:rRNA from 1 species